UGUUUUUAUUUGUAAAAUACAAUUCCAGCUUCAACACCAAAAGAGCAAGAAUUAUUUGAACCCCCAGGGACCAACAAAUAUUAUUCUGCUGAGAACCCUCUGUUUGGGAAAGAAAUCAAGCCAGCACUAUUGGAAGAUGACAAAGUCAGCAACAGUUCUUUGGAUGAUAAUGUUGUGGACUCUAAUACACAAAUACCAGAAGCACCAAAUGAACCAGAAGAGCAGGAAGUUGUCCUACAGAUCAGUGAGUCUCCUGCAGCUAGUCCUGGCCACAAGAAGGACCUCAACCACAACCCUCAUCUGGACGAGGUUCUUGAAGCUUAUCAAAAUAAAGGUUUUGAGGAUAAUGACGAGCCUGACUCCAGGUUAGGUCAAUCAGGAAGGAGUGAUCGACUCAGGCCAGCUAGUCACAGUCACAAUAGACCCAAAAUACCCGAGGCACCAGAAGGCAUUACAAAAUUCUCAGAAAACUUUUUAUCUUAUGACACUGGCUAUCAAAAUAUCAACUACUCUACAUCAGGUAGAGGUCAUGUGGAUUAUACAGACAUCUAGAAGCUUCCUGUCCAUUACAUACAGCUGGUCUGUACUGAUAAAAUUACAAAAAUAUAUUUCUGAUAGGGAAUAAAUAUCAGAAAGCAAAAGUUCUCAAAGAUAAUUUACAGAAACUUAUCUAAGAACUGACAGAGUGAUUUUUAAACACGUUACAUUAAACUAUUCUGAGAUCAGACGUCGGUUCUUAAAAACAUGAUGAAUAGAACUUCUGAGAUAGAACAGCAGUUCUUAAAUAUAUGUUACAUAAAAUCUUCUGAGAUCACACAGCAUGUGUUAAAAAAAAGCUUUUGGAAUAAGUUUUUUUUACUAAAUUUUUACCAGUGGAUAAUUUUUUUUUACAAAUUGUACUAAUUAUUUUAGAAAAUGUAAAUUGAUGAUUAAGAUGACUAAAUCAUUACUUAAAAUAUUAAGUGAGCUGAUUAACAUAAACAAUCUUUUUUUUAUACUGUCAUAUUCUUAUAUAUAUCUUCCCCAAUGAAUCAAGGAAGUUACACUAUUACUAUAUCCAAACAUUGUAAUAUUGUAGUGACAUUGUCUAUGCAGUGAUGACAUUUAUAUUUCCCAACCACUUGUGGCAGGCUUCAUCUCUGCAAAAAUAUCAAGUGCUAUGGAAUAGGCCCUCUGCUUUCUCAUGCUCAUUUGGCAGACAUUUCAAGGGCUGGAUAGCAUAGCAUCUUCGACUUGAUAGCACAGCAUCAUGGGAUGAAAGCAUGGCAUCAUGGGCUGGAUAGCAUGGCAUAAUGGGCUGGAUAGCAUGGCAUCAUGGGCUGGAUAGCAUGGCAUCAUGGGAUGAUAGCAUGGCAUCAUGGGCUGGAUAAGUUCUAUAGUUUAUGUUUUGAUUGUUUGGACCUUUUUUGUUUUUUUGAAAGGGGGAGAUAAUUGUUAAAGAAACCAAGCAGUGGUCAAAAGUAAAUAAAUUGGGCCAAGAAUAAACUUAUAUUUUUAAAUUAAAUUUUAUCAAUGAAAAGUUUUUUUUUUUUUUUUUUUUUACACCUUUCAUAUUAAGAGCUUCAGCAAGAAUUACCGCUGUUGACUCAAAUGUUUCUUUGUAUUCAACAAGGAGUUGAAAGAACUAGAUGUACAUGAGCAAUUAUGUAGAUUCCAAGUUUUGUACCAGUAUCUAUUUGAUAUUAGUUUAUUUGAUUACUGAUGUUUUGAAUGUUUUGAAAUAUACAAAUGUGAAAUAUUAGACUAGAUCUCAAUUUUGUAUUAAUAAUUGUAUGAGGCUCGUUGGAAAGAUUCCUCGAUAUCAUGAAGCAUUGCAAGAAAUAAAUAGAAUGAAAAAUCGCCAUCAGAUUUUAAAAUAGAAAUUGAGUAAAAAAACACACACAAACUUUGUUUAGUUCCUUUGAAGGUAAAAGUAGCAAAAAAGGUGUUUAUUAUUAUACUCUAGAGUCAGUUUCGCUUUAUAUGUACCAGUAUAAAAGAUUUAAAACAAAAUAUUUAUGAAC
rnacentral:sRNA from 1 species